rnacentral:lncRNA from 1 species
AAUAUAUUCCAUGAGUAAAAACCUCAAAAGGGUUUAUAUAUUUUUAGUGGUAGUAGAUCGAUUAGGUUUUUUCUCGAGAAUUUUAGUCCAACGAAUGACUUCAUUCACGUUCAAGAAGUAAAAGAUAGAAGAGAUGAAGUUGAUGUUAUGCUCAAUUUGAGGCUUCAAUUUCUUCCCUUUAAUUUUUUUCAAAAAGGAAAAAGCCAGCCCAAUAUUUUUUCAAGUAUCAUCAAUAAAACCCAUAAGAAUUAUGGGCUCUCUGUAGUUUGCCAAUUGGAACAGUAACCCAAGGCCCAUAUGUUCACUACCCAAAAACAUUAUGAUGUGAGAGACGAUGAUGA